rnacentral:lncRNA from 1 species
UGUCUCUCCAUAUAACCAAUCCCUAUCUACAAAAACAGUUUUAUUUUAGGAACUCCUUGAUUUUAAACUCCUAAUCUUUGUUCCACUGGAUGGCUUGAAUCUUUUCCACUGAGUUUAGGGAUGACUGUGCUUUCCAGAACACUUAAAGAAUUUUCCCUUAAGGAAGUAGCUUGAGCCUGCAAUGCAAAGCCCAUGAAAGGAGUUGGAAACUAUUCUUUCUUAGAGCACCAACACGGCCAGGGGAGACCUGGGCCUCCUGAAUCUAUUCUUGCUCUUUAAGAAGUGUUAAAUUUUGACUAUUCAUUAGGCAAUUAUGAUAUUUACAUAUAAAGCUUA